rnacentral:tRNA from 2 species
GGCUCGUUGGUCUAGGGGUAUGAUUCCUGCUUCGGGUGCAGGAGGUCCCGGGUUCAAAUCCCGGACGAGCCC